AUUGAACGCUGGCGGCAGGCCUAUCACAUGCAAGUCGAGCGGUAGCACAGAGAGCUUGCUCUCGGGUGACGAGCGGCGGACGGGUGAGUAAUGUCUGGGAAACUGCCUGAUGGAGGGGGAUAACUACUGGAAACGGUAGCUAAUACCGCAUAACGUCGCAAGACCAAAGAGGGGGACCUUCUGGCCUCUUGCCAUCAGAUGUGCCCAGAUGGGAUUAGCUAGUAGGUGGGGUAACGGCUCACCUAGGCGACGAUCCCUAGCUGGUCUGAGAGGAUGACCAGCCACACUGGAACUGAGACACGGUCCAGACGCCUACGGGAGGCAGCAGUGGGGAAUAUUGCACAAUGGGCGCAAGCCUGAUGCAGCCAUGCCGCGUGUAUGAAGAAGGCCUUCGGGUUGUAAAGUACUUUCAGCGAGGAGGAAGGUGUUGAGGUUAAUAACCUCAGCAAUUGACGUUACUCGCAGAAGAAGCACCGGCUAACUCCGUGCCAGCCGCCGCAGUAACAC
rnacentral:rRNA from 1 species